rnacentral:rRNA from 1 species
AAACUUUACAGUUAUUAUAAAUUUAAUUUUUGGAUGUUUCUUAGAAAUAACUUGUAUUUUUAGUAUUUUUUUGUGAAGUAAUAGGUUUAAUUAUAGUGUAUAGUACUGUGAAGGAACCUGUGUGAAUUGGUUAUAAGUAAUUUUAAUUUGAUGUACCUUUUGUAUCAGGGUUAAUUAAAUUAUUAUAUUUAUAUAUAUAUCCCGAAAUUAAAAGAGAUAAAAUUAAAUAUUAGUUUAUGUUUCAUAAUAAUUUAUGAUUUAAUUUUAGUAAUGAAAUGUUAUUCGUUUUUAAAUAUCUGGUUUUCAAAGAGUUAAAUUUAAUUUAGGCUUUCAUAUUUAUAUAUAGUAAUUAUAUUCUAUUAUUAUUAGUAAAGUUAUUAUUAUCAGGGAUAAGCUUGAUAUUAGUUCUAUAAUUUAGAGCGAUAAAUGGGGAUUUUGUGGGCUUGAAGUCAGUCAUCAUUAAUUUCGUUAUAGAAUAAUUACUUAAAGUAUUUAUUUUUUUUGAUUUAGUAUUUUAUUUGAAUUAUAAAUUUAAUAAUUCUAUUUAUGUAAAAAUGAUUAAAUUAGUAUUAAUGGGAAUUAAGUUAUAGUAACUCGGCAAGUAUAUUACUCACCUGUUUAACAAAAACAUGUCUUUUUGAGUAUUAUAUAAGGUCUAACCUGCCCAAUGAGGAAUUGAAUGGCUGCGGUAUUCUAACCGUGCUAAGGUAGCAUAAUCAUUUGUCUUUUAAUUGAGGGCUUGUAUGAAAGGUUGAAUGAAGUAAUAACUUUCUUUAAUUUAAUUUAUGAAUUAAAUUUUUUAGUCAAAAAGCUAAAAUAUUUUUAUUGGACGAGAAGACCCUAUAGAUCUUUACAGGUUAUUAAAUUUGAUAAUUUGGGGAAUUACUUAUUUUUAAUUAAUAUCUUGUUUGGUUGGGGUGAUUGUAGAAUUUUAUGAACUUCUAUUGUUUAGUUUUCAAUAAUUAUUGUUUUAUUGAUCCAUAUAUAAUGAUUAAAAGAUUAAGUUACCUUAGGGAUAACAGCGUAAUUCUUUCGGAGAGUUCAUAUUGAUGAAGGAGUUUGCGACCUCGAUGUUGGAUUAAAAUAAGUAUUAGGUGUAGCAGCUUAAUAACUAGGUCUGUUCGACCUUUAAAGUUUUACAUGAUCUGAGUUCAGACCGGCGUAAGCCAGGUCAGUUUCUAUCCAUAAUCUGUUUAUGGAUUUUAGUACGAAAGGACCAAAUUCAUGAAAUAAUUUUUUUAUAUUGAUUAAUAUU